UACGUAGGGUGCGAGCGUUAAUCGGAAUUACUGGGCGUAAAGCGUGCGCAGGCGGUUAUGCAAGACAGAUGUGAAAUCCCCGGGCUCAACCUGGGAACUGCAUUUGUGACUGGCGUGCUGGAGUGUGGCAGAGGGAGGUGGAAUUCCACGUGUAGCAGUGAAAUGCGUAGAGAUGUGGAGGAACACCGAUGGCGAAGGCAGCCUCCUGGGCCAGCACUGACGCUCAUGCACGAAAGCGUGGGGAGCAAACAGG
rnacentral:rRNA from 1 species